UACGGAGGGUGCAAGCGUUAUCCGGAUUCACUGGGUUUAAAGGGUGCGUAGGUGGGUAGGUAAGUCAGUGGUGAAAUCUCCAAGCUUAACUUGGAAACUGCCGUUGAUACUAUUUAUCUUGAAUAUAGUGGAGGUGAGCGGAAUAUGUCAUGUAGCGGUGAAAUGCUUAGAUAUGACAUGGAACACCAAUUGCGAAGGCAGCUUGCUACACUACUAUUGACACUGAGGCACGAAAGCGUGGGGAUCAAACAGG
rnacentral:rRNA from 1 species